AUUAAGCAUAUAACUAAGCGGAGGAAAAGAAACUAACCAGGAUUCCCCCAGUAACGGCGAGUGAAGCGGGAAGAGCUCAAGCUUGAAAUCCGGCGCCCCCGGGGGGUGCCGGAGUUGUAACCUACAGGUGCGUGUUCGCCCGCUGGUGGGGCUGCGGCUAAGUCCGAUUUGAAAAGGGCACCAAGGAGGGUGGCAGUCCCGUUCGUGCCGUGGUCCUGCCUGCGAUGUGGCCUCGCUUCCCAGGAGUCGAGUUGCUUGGGAUUGCAGCUCAAAGGGGGUGGUAAACUCCAUCCAAAGCUAAACACGUGUGGGAGACCGAUAGCGAACAAGUACCGUGAGGGAAAGAUGCAAAGAACUUUGAAAAGAGAGUCAAAGAGUGCCUGAAAUUGCUGAGAGGGAAGCGAAGGAAAGUAGUGUCGAUCGAGGGGAUCUUGCACACGGGGAACGGUCCCCUGGGGCCCUCCCCGUUAUCCCCCGCGCUGUCAGGGGCGGGUGUGGUUUAAGUCGGCGACUGCGGCAUCAUUAGUACAGGUGUUCCGAGGUAACAGCCGGACAAAUGCUGUGGGUCACUGAGCGUCCCGCCCGCGGCCGUCCCUGACGAAAUGUUUUUCUUUACCCCGUCUUGAAACACGGACCAAGGAGUCUAACAUGCCCGCGAGUACAGGGGUGAUGGAAACCCCCGUGCGCAGUGAAAGUGAAUGCAGGUGGCAGGGGAUUAUGGCCCCGCACCAUCGACCGACCACGCUACCAAGAGUGCGAGGUUUGAGUGUGAGCGUGUAUGUUGGGACCCGAAAGAUGGUGAACUAUGCCUGAGUAGGGCGAAGCCAGGGGAAACUCUGGUGGAGGCUCGUAGCGAUUCUGACGUGCAAAUCGAUCGUGGGAUUUGGGUAUAGGGGCGAAAGACUAAUCGAACCAUCUAGUAGCUGGUUCCCUCCGAAAUUUCCCUCAGGAUAGCUGCAACCUUGUUACCAGUUUUAUCAGGUAAAGCGAAUGAUUAGAGGCUGCGGGGGAGUAACUCCCUCGCCCUAUUCUCAAACUUUAAAUGGGUAAGCCACCUGGGUCGCUUCGGUGGACUCUUGGCACAAUGAAUGAUGGUUGUUAGUGGGCCAGUCCGGGUAAGCUGGACUGGCGAUGCGGGAUGAACCGAACGCCUAGUUAAAGCGCCUCACUGCCCGCUCACCUAGACCCCACAAAAGGUGUUGGUUCAUUUUGACAGCAGGACGGUGGCCAUGGAAGUCGGAACCCGCUAAGGAGUGU
rnacentral:rRNA from 1 species